AAUAUAAAUAUCCACCACGUCAGCAAACAAUUAGGGUUUUUGAAGUAAUACAAAUAGGUUUCGAGUGGGGACUUACCCAAUCUUCUUCAGGCAAAUUUGUUUUCGUCGCAAACUUUCCUUUAUGGCGGCUCGUUCGAGGAUUCUUCAAUUUCAUCGCUUCUCGCUUCGUCGUCGUCUAUCACUAUGCCCGGCCAAAAAGGGAGGUCAAAGGAUUCAGUUUCCUUGAGAGCAAGAAUCAGAGCAAAAAAGAAGCGAAGCCAAGUUUUGCUGACCUGACAUUAUGCCUCUUGGAAGUAAUAAUAUCUCAACUUGACUUAAAAGAUAACAUUCGCGCAUCUGCUGUCUGUAAA